GUCCUAACUUUGCUGAUUACAAUACCAUAUAUACUUAUGAUAAUAUAUGAUGCCAUGGCAGAAGUGGAAUUUGCAGAAUGUAGUCAAAUAAAAUUCAGGAUUCUGUCGUUUGUGAUCAUAAAGAUGGCCAUACUGACAUUUGCACCAGUACUAGCUUGUGAGAAGUUGGCAUUCCAAGCGGAA
rnacentral:misc_RNA from 1 species